UGCUGGUCCAACUGCAGCAGUGUUUACAACUAAUUAAUCACAAUCAGUCACAGAUUUCUUUGUUCAUUCUCCAGUCCCACUGCUUUGCUUUACUAGCUUAAA
ensembl:Y_RNA Y_RNA Y RNA